GAUGAACGCUAGCGGCAGGCCUAAUACAUGCAAGUCGAACGGGAUUGGAGAGCUUGCUUUCCAUGAGAGUGGCGCACGGGUGCGUAACACGUAUGUAACCUACCUUAAUCUGGGGGAUAGCCUCUCGAAAGAGAGAUUAACACCGCAUAACAUCACACCAUAGCAUUUUGGUAGUGAUCAAAUAAUUUAUAGGAUUAAGAUGGGCAUGCGGAACAUUAGCUAGUUGGUAAGGUAAUGGCUUACC
rnacentral:rRNA from 1 species